UACAGAGGGUGCGAGCGUUGUUCGGAAUUAUUGGGCGUAAAGGGCGCGUAGGCGGUGCGGUAAGUCACCUGUGAAAUCUCCUGGCUCAACUGGGAGUCUGCAGGCGAAACUGCCGUGCUGGAGUGUGGGAGAGGUGAGUGGAAUUCCUGGUGUAGCGGUGAAAUGCGCAGAUAUCAGGAGGAACACCAAUUGCGAAGGCAGCUCGCUGGGACGUAACUGACGCUGAGACGCGAAAGCGUGGGGAGCAAACAGG
rnacentral:rRNA from 1 species